rnacentral:rRNA from 1 species
AACGAACGCUGGCGGCGUGCCUAACACAUGCAAGUCGAACGGGAUUAGGGGCUUGCUCCUAAUCUAGUGGCGCACGGGUGAGUAACGCGUAGAUAAUCUGCCUGAUGAUCUGGGAUAAAAGUUCGAAAGGACUGCUAAUACCGGAUAAGCCCACGGGUUCUUUGGAAUCUGCGUGAAAAGGGGGGGACCUUUUGGCCUUCUGUCAUCAGAUGAGUCUGCGUACCAUUAGCUAGUUGGUAGGGUAAAGGCCUACCAAGGCGACGAUGGUUAGCUGGUCUGAGUGGAUGAUCAACCACUCUGGAACUGAUACACGGUCCAGAAUCCUACGUGAGGCAGCAGUAGGGAAUUUUGCGCAAUGAGCGAAAGCCUGACGCAGCAACGCCGCGUGAGUGAUGAAGGCUUUCGGGUCGUAAAGCUCUGUCAGGGGGAAAGAAAUGCAUUGUGGCUAAUAUCCACGAUACUUGCCGGUACCCCCAAAGGAAGCACCGUCUAACUCCUUGCCAGCCGCCGCAGUAACAC